UACGAAGGGGGCUAGCGUUGUUCGGAAUUACUGGGCGUAAAGCGCACGUAGGCGGAUAUUUAAGUCAGGGGUGAAAUCCCAGAGCUCAACUCUGGAACUGCCUUUGAUACUAGGUAUCUUGAGUAUGGAAGAGGUGAGUGGAGUUCCGAGUGUAGAGGUGAAAUUCGUAGAUAUUCGGAGGAACACCAGUGGCGAAGGCGGCUCACUGGUCCAUUACUGACGCUGAGGUGCGAAAGCGUGGGGAGCAAACAGG
rnacentral:rRNA from 1 species